rnacentral:hammerhead_ribozyme from 1 species
AUUUAGCUGACGAGUCUCAAAUAAGACGAAACACGCGCUUUGGAU